CUGAAGAUGAAAACAGCUUACAAGUACAUCAUUCCUACAGAAAAGGAAGAAUAAAAAGAAAGAAACACAGCAGCAAUAUUUGCGAUGAAGUAGUUUGUUAUUAUUAUUUGUUGUCUUCAUUUUUUUUAUUGUUCUUAUU
rnacentral:ribozyme from 14 species